rnacentral:rRNA from 1 species
UACGUAGGGUGCAAGCGUUAAUCGGAAUUACUGGGCGUAAAGCGUGCGCAGGCGGUGAUGUAAGUCAGGUGUGAAAUCCCCGGGCUUAACCUGGGAACUGCAUUUGUGACUGUAUAGCUAGAGUACGGUAGAGGGGGAUGGAAUUCCGCGUGUAGCAGUGAAAUGCGUAGAUAUGCGGAGGAACACCGAUGGCGAAGGCAAUCCCCUGGGCCUGUACUGACGCUCAUGCACGAAAGCGUGGGGAGCAAACAGG